UACGUAGGGGGCUAGCGUUGUCCGGAAUCAUUGGGCGUAAAGAGCGCGUAGGUGGCCUCAUAAGUCCGCUGUGAAAGUCAAAGGCUCAACCUUUGAAAGCCGGUGGAUACUGUGAGGCUAGAGUACGGAAGAGGCGAGUGGAAUUCCUGGUGUAGCGGUGGAAUGCGCAGAUAUCAGGAGGAACACCUGUGGCGAAAGCGGCGCGCUGGACCCCUUCUGACGCUGAGGCGCGAAAGCCAGGGGGAGCAAAGCGGG
rnacentral:rRNA from 1 species